rnacentral:rRNA from 1 species
GAUGAACGCUGGCGGCGUGCCUAAUACAUGCAAGUCGAGCGAACAGACGAGGAGCUUGCUCCUCUGACGUUAGCGGCGGACGGGUGAGUAACACGUGGAUAACCUACCUAUAAGACUGGGAUAACUUCGGGAAACCGGAGCUAAUACCGGAUAAUAUAUUGAACCGCAUGGUUCAAUAGUGAAAGACGGUUUUGCUGUCACUUAUAGAUGGAUCCGCGCCGCAUUAGCUAGUUGGUAAGGUAACGGCUUACCAAGGCAACGAUGCGGAGCCGACCUGAGAGGGUGAUCAGCCACACUGGAACUGAGACACGGUCCAGACUCCUACGGGAGGCAGCAGUAGGGAAUCUUCCGCAAUGGGCGAAAGCUUGACGGAGCAACGCCGCGUGAGUGAUGAAGGUCUUCGGAUCGUAAAACUCUGUUAUUAGGGAAGAACAAAUGUGUAAGUAACUAUGCACGUCUUGACGGUACCUAAUCAGAAAGCCACGGCUAACUACGUG